rnacentral:rRNA from 1 species
ACGAAGGGUGCAAGCGUUACUCGGAAUUACUGGGCGUAAAGCGUGCGUAGGUGGUUUGUUAAGUCAGAUGUGAAAGCCCCGGGCUCAACCUGGGAAUUGCAUUUGAUACUGGCUAACUAGAGUGAGGUAGAGGAGAGUGGAAUUCCCGGUGUAGCAGUGAAAUGCGUAGAGAUCGGGAGGAACAUCAGUUGCGAAGGCGGCUCUCUGGACCAUCACUGACACUGAGGCACGAAAGCGUGGGGAGCAAACAGGAUUAGAUACCCUGGUAGUCCACGCCCUAAACGAUGCGAACUGGACGUUGGGAUCAAUUGAGAUUUCAGUGUCGAAGCUAACGCGUUAAGUUCGCCGCCUGGGGAGUACGGUCGCAAGACUG